rnacentral:rRNA from 1 species
UACGUAGGGCGCAAGCGUUGUUCGGAUUCAUUGGGCGUAAAGGGUGCGUAGGCGGCGCGGUAAGUCGGAUGUGAAAUCUCGGGGCUUAACUCCGAAACUGCAUUCGAUACUGCCGUGCUUGAGGACUGGAGAGGAGACUGGAAUUUACGGUGUAGCGGUGAAAUGCGUAGAUAUCGUAAGGAAGACCAGUGGCGAAGGCGGGUCUCUGGACAGUUCCUGACGCUGAGGCACGAAGGCCAGGGGAGCAAACGGG